UCCAUUUUUAUUUGGAAGUGACGGGCGAUAUGUGCAUAUUUUAUAGCAUUUUCAAACUUAAAUUUUCUUUUUUAAGUUUUAUUGUCAAGUUCUAGUUUUUAUUCUUAUUUGUUAAAAUGCAAUUCAUGAUUUCUUUAUCUAUAUUUUCUGUCUUGAUUUGUUUUAUAUCUUUUUAGAUUAAUAAUAAUUUUUUUUUCAAUUAUUUUAAAACAAUGAUAUGGAGAAUUAAAAGUUAAAUCUAUUCAAUCGUGGGUUAUCGAUUAGUUCACAAAAUUCCCUGUAUUGAUAAAAUACCGCCAUCUUAUUUAGAUUUUAUUUAUUUAAUUUCUCUUUUUUUUAAAAUAAAA
rnacentral:rRNA from 1 species